UGAUGGGGGGGUGAGGAUGCUGCUGGCACCCAUGCAGCUGAUCUUCUCUGUGCUGGAGGGGGUGGUAUGGUGGCCCAGAAGCCUUCUCUUGUGCCCUGUUUGAUUUGUUUUAGGUCACUGUGGCCAGCUCUGAGUGCUGCCAGUUGCAUCAAUCCACCUGAGAAGGUAAGCUCCUCCUCUGAAGGAAAUAACUGUUACUGUCUACACUUUUAAUCUUUAAUACAUUUUAUGAAUAUGUCAUUCUUCAUUCAAUAACCUAGAGACUGGAUAAACAUUAAUGUUCUUUCAACCUUUUGCUAUUACAGAAAUAAAUUACUGCAGUGAAUAUUCUUCUUUAGGGUUAAAAUCCCUUAACUGCAACUGUAAAGCCCAAACAACUUAGAAAAAUGAAAGUUUUUCAAAUGUUUGACAUACUUAUAGGGCAGCUAAACUGUAGUUGACCUGAUUUGAGGCAAUUUAUUGUAUUGUAUUUAUACUGCUUAAUGUGAACUUGUGUAUCUUUUUUGCUGACAUAUAACUGGGUUUGAUUACAGGUUGUUAUCCUAAUUCCCACUAGAAUUAUUACAAAAUGUACUAUAUUGUAUGCAUCAACUUCCUAAAAAUCCAAACAAUUUUAAUUUCUGAAGCAUAUUCAUUACUAAGAGUUUUGGCUACAUGACAGUAGUCUGUACAGAUGUGACUGUACACAUUUAUGAGUUGUAUCUUUAGGAUAAGUUGGAAAAGCAGAGUCACUAAAAGUAAAUGCAUUUUAAAUUUUGAUGGAUAUUGUCAAGUUGCUCUUCAAAGACAUAAAGAAUUUACAUCAUAAACAGUUGUUUACAUCAUAAACAUUUACAUCACAAAUGUUAAAUGUAAAAUGAAAGUGCCUAUUCUUUUACACCCUAAGAAAACUUUUUGAUGUUUCCUAAGUGAAAGGUGACAACUCAUGUAGUGUUAAAUUCAUUUCAUCAUGGUUCUCUAGGUCAGAAAUCCAGCACUGUCUGACAGGACUGAGGGCCUAGUCUGGGCUAAAAUCUGCUCAGAGCUCACUGGGCUAAAAUCAAGGAACUAACCAGGGAUGUUGAGUAAAAUCUGCUUUCACAUUCACUCCUUGCAAAGAUGAAAUGUUUUCUACUACCCAUGAACCUAAAUUCACAUCUGCUAAGUCAUUAUACAAGCUUUGAAAACUGCAGGAACAUACCAGUGCUUCUGUUCCAUUGUACGGUGUCAAUGUGAAAGCAUUUGCAAAAAAGCGAAGCUGAGAAAAAGAAAACAACAGUCAUUUGGAGGUGGUUUAGAACAGAGUCACAAAAGGAACUCAUUUAAACAUUAAGAAAUUUUGCAUUUCGGAUCAUACGUCAUUUUUGAGAGUCAAAAAAUAAAGCCAAAAGAAAAAAAAAGAAGUAUCACAAUCUCUACCACUCUGGGUCAACUACUUUGUGCAUGAAGGCAUUUUUACUUCUGAUCUUUUCAACAU